GCAUAUCAAUAAGCGGAGGAAAAGAAACCAACCGGGAUUACCUCAGUAACGGCGAGUGAAGCGGUAAGAGCUCAAAUUUGAAAUCUGGCCCCUCCGGGGUCCGAGUUGUAAUUUGCAGAGGAUGCUUCGGGUGCAGCCCCCAUCUAAGUUCCCUGGAACGGGACGUCAUAGAGGGUGAGAAUCCCGUAUGGGAUGGGGUGUCUGCGUCCGUGUGAAGCUCCUUCGACGAGUCGAGUUGUUUGGGAAUGCAGCUCUAAAUGGGUGGUAAAUUUCAUCUAAAGCUAAAUAUUGGCCGGAGACCGAUAGCGCACAAGUAGAGUGAUCGAAAGAUGAAAAGCACUUUGAAAAGAGAGUUAAACAGCACGUGAAAUUGUUGAAAGGGAAGCGCUUGCGACCAGACUCGCCUACGGGGUUCAGCCGGCUUUCGGGCCGGUGUACUUCCCCGUGGGCGGGCCAGCGUCGGUUUGGGCGGCCGGUCAAAGGCCUCGGGAAUGUAGCCCCUCUCGGGGGGCCUUAUAGCCCGGGGUGCAAUGCGGCCUGCCUGGACCGAGGAACGCGCUUCGGCACGGACGCUGGCAUAAUGGUCGUAAGCGACCCGUCUUGAAACACGGACCAAGGAGUCUAACAUCUACGCGAGUGUUCGGGUGUCAAACCCGUGCGCGGAGUGAAAGCGAACGGAGGUGGGAGCCCCUUUCGGGGCGCACCAUCGACCGAUCCUGAUGUCUUCGGAUGGAUUUGAGUAAGAGCGUAAAUGUGGGGACCCGAAAGAUGGUGAACUAUGCCUGAAUAGGGCGAAGCCAGAGGAAACUCUGGUGGAGGCUCGCAGCGGUUCUGACGUGCAAAUCGAUCGUCAAAUUUGGGUAUAGGGGCGAAAGACUAAUCGAACCAUCUGGUAGCUGGUUCCUGCGA
rnacentral:rRNA from 2 species